rnacentral:rRNA from 1 species
AAUCAACGCCGGCGGCGUGCCUCAGACAUGCAAGUCGAACGAUUAAAGCUCUCUUCGGAGAGUGUAUAGAGUGGCGCACGGGUGAGUAACACGUAAGUAAUCUACCUUCGAGUGGGAAUAACGUCCGGAACGGACGCUAAUACCGCAUAAUGCAGCGGCAUCGCAAGAUGACAGUUGUUAAAGAUUUAUCGCUUGAAGAGGAGCUUGCGGCAGAUUAGCUAGUUGGUAAGGUAAUGGCUUACCAAGGCUACGAUCUGUAACCGGUCUAAGAGGACGGUCGGUCACACUGACACUGAAUAACGGGUCAGACUCCUACGGGAGGCAGCAGUCGGGAAUUUUGGGCGAAUGGGCGAAAGACCUGACCCAGCAACGCCGCGUGAAGGAUGAAGUAUUUCGGUAU